rnacentral:rRNA from 1 species
CCUACGGGAGGCAGCAGUGAGGAAUAUUGGUCAAUGGGCGCGAGCCUGAACCAGCCAAGUCGCGUGAAGGAUGACUGCUCUAUGGGUUGUAAACUUCUUUUAUAAAGGAAUAAAGUUAUGCACGUGUGCCUUUUUGCAUGUACUUUAUGAAUAAGCAUCGGCUAACUCCGUGCCAGCAGCCGCGGUAAUACGGAGGAUCCGAGCGUUAUCCGGAUUUAUUGGGUUUAAAGGGAGCGUAGAUUGUUUUUUAAGUCAGUGGUGAAAGUUUGCGGCUCAACCGUAAAAUUGCCGUUGAUACUGGCAGCCUUGAGUGCGUUUGAGGUAGGCGGAAUGCGUGGUGUAGCGGUGAAAUGCAUAGAUAUCACGAAGAACUCCGAUUGCGAAGGCAGCCUACUAAGC